rnacentral:rRNA from 1 species
AUGGUGAUUUGGUUUCGAUCCGAGGUCGGAUCUUUCCCAAUGGGGGGGGGGGAGAUGAUGUGGAGCAUCCUAUGGACAUCACCAUGUCAAGAGUUUGUCGGUGCUCUCAAGGCGGAACAAGAACACAUGAAGGCCAAGGCUUGUCCAUGCCAACCACACUUCGCGACAAUCAAGCUCCACGACAACGAGCAUGAGGCUAGCACCACCAAGAUGUCCAAGCCCGACGAGCUCCAAGACGAUGAUCCCAAGUUCGACUUCACCGUCAUCCCUCUUUGUGGCAUUAAUGAUGCCGAGUCUACCAUGGCUCUUUUUCAAGACGACGCGGCGACGAGUACGACUACGAAGACCUUCAAGGACCAAGCUUUGGAGGCAAGAGACAAGGUGGCGAGCAAGGAUGAUGCUUCCAUCUUAGAAGGCGAGAGUGAUGAUGUGCCAUCUUCGGCCUUCAUCCACGGCGACGGUGAUGAGAUGAUCGAGCAUGGGGUUUUCCCUUCGGUCAUGGAGGAGAGUUAUGAUGUGCCAUUUUCGGCCUUCAUCCACGGCGACGAUGACGAGAUGGUUGAGCAUGGGAUUUUCCCUUCGAUCAACCACGGCAACGUAUGA